AUGAAGUGCAAGACAUGUGCUCACAAAGUAAAUGCAAAAACUGCAUUACAUACAUGGUGUGGUCUAUCAUUCAUACCUGCGUCUCAACUCUCACAAGAAUGUUGAAGGUCGUCAGGAGGUCGUCGACCAGAAAGACCUAGGACCACUGAUUGACAGGGCAUGUGCCAAGUGCCGUCACAAUGGACUUCAUUGCCACACCAGGCAAACACGAUCAGCUGAUGAAGGACAAACCGUCAUCUAUUUCUGCUCAUCA